rnacentral:rRNA from 1 species
AUUGAACGCUGGCGGCAGGCCUAACACAUGCAAGUCGAGCGAGAGGCGGACGGGUGAGUAAAGUCUGGGAAAAUGCCUGAUGGAGGGGGGUAACUCCUGGAAACGGUAGCUAAUACCCCAUACCAUCAGGUGUGCCCAGAUGGGAGUGGCUCGUAGGUGGGGUAACGGCUCACCUAGGCGACGAUCCCUAGCUGGUCUGAGAGGAUGACCAGCCACACUGGAACUGAGACACGGUCCAGACUCCUACGGGAGGCAGCAGUGGGGAAUAUUGCACAAUGGGCGCAAGCCUGAUGCAGCCAUGCCGCGUGUGUGAAGAAGGCCUUCGGGUUGUAAAGCACUUUCAGCGGGGAGGCGUUACCCGCAGAAGAAGCACCGGCUAACUCCGUGCCAGCAGCCGCGGUAAUUC